GUAGCUUAGUGGUUAGAGAAGCUGACUUCAAAUGAUUUGCUCCGGGUUCAAUUCCCGGGAGCUCGCA